CUGUGUGGGGGGAGUGAGGGGCUGGCAGUGGCAGCUGCUGGUUCCAUCACCAAUGUGACAGUGGGGGAGAGCGUCCUGUUUCCUGUCUCACCUGAGGGGAACCACAGUUAUAGAGUCGAGCUGAUUUUUAGAUCCUUUCCUAUAGUUACAAUAUAUUCUGAAACAAAAGACUCUUAUAUUCACAGCCAAUAUGAGGACAGAAUCAGCAUCCGUGAUGCUGGCUCAAUAUGGCUGAACACCAUACAGCUGUCAGAUUCUGGCCUUUAUCAGAUUAAAAUACAGUACAGCUCAGGAGAUUUUAGACCACCGAAAGACACAGACUUUCACCUGCACGUUUUUGAGCCUGUAUCUAGUCCCAGCAUCACAGUUGAGUGUCUGGGGAACAACAUCAGUCUGAGCUGCUCCAGCAGUCAGGGCAGUGAAGUGACCUACAGCUGGGAAGCCCUUUUCCCUUGUCCAAAUACCAGCUGUGUGCAUCUGGGCCAAAUGAUGGAGAUAAACUCCUUCCUUCCAUUUGAGUCCAUAACAUACAGGUGUACGGCCAGGAAUCCUGUCAGCAGAGCCACCAGUGACCCUGUGAACUUAGAACUCUGUACUGUCAAAAGUACGCAAGGUGGUAGAUGGGUUCCAGUCCUGUGUGCCGUGUUAUUGCUCAUUGGAGCAUUGAUAUGUCUCUACAAGUGGAAAAAGUAACAGGAAAAAGGGAAACAGAUCAAGACGCUUAUCGGCUAAGACCCAGCAAGGAUUCAAACCCGGAGUAUUUGUGGAUUCCAACAUCUUCAGAAAGUAAAGACUACAAAUGUAAGUAGCCCGCUAAAUUAUCUACGAUGGCUUCUCACAGCUCCGUUUCUCCUAUCCUUAGUUCUCCUCCCUCUCGCUGUCUCCCCUGCUCAGUGUGCAACAUUUUUAGUUACUCCUUCCCCGCCAGUACUGCUAGCUUUACCUGUGAUAAAUGUGAGCUAAACAUUAGGUUGACGAAGAAGGUAGCAGAGUUAGAAGCAUGCAUCUGCACCUUAUAUGAGAUUAAAGCAGUGGUGUAGUCUAUGUGAUACGCAGGUCUACGCCGUAUACCCGCUAAAGCCCCUUUCACACAUGCACUGGAUGCCGGAUCGUAUCCGGCCUUUAGCCGGAGGAGCUGCAUGUGUGAACGCAAAUGUCGAAUCAGUUGGACCGGACAUGUGACGGACUUCGUUCUGCCAGCUCUCUAGUAUAAAGUCCGGCUCAUAUCGGAGUGAUCCCAUGUGUAAAUAGAUCAGGUAACGUUCCGGAGA